AGUCUCUCUAGGUGUACCAAAUUAAUGCAGGUGUAGCAAAAUGGUUAUGCGGCUGACUCUUAAUCAGUAAGACGAUG
rnacentral:tRNA from 1 species